rnacentral:rRNA from 1 species
GAUGAACGCUGGCUACAGGCUUAACACAUGCAAGUCGAGGGGCAGCAUGGGGUUUGCUUGCAAACCCCGAUGGCGACCGGCGCACGGGUGAGUAACGCGUAUCCAACCUUCCCGCGACUCGGGUAUAACCUGCCGAAAGGCAGACUAAUCCCCGAUGUCCUCCACUUUGGGCAUCUUUGGUGGAGCAAAGGCUUCGGCCGGUUGCGGAUGGGGAUGCGUCCGAUUAGCUUGUUGGCGGGGCGACGGCCCACCAAGGCUUCGAUCGGUAGGGGUUCUGAGAGGAAGGCCCCCCACAUUGGAACUGAGACACGGUCCAAACUCCUACGGGAGGCAGCAGUGAGGAAUAUUGGUCAAUGGGCGGAAGCCUGAACCAGCCAAGUAGCGUGCAGGAUGACGGCCCUAUGGGUUGUAAACUGCUUUUAUGCGGGGAUAACCGGGGCCACGCGUGGCCCCCUGCAGGUACCGCAUGAAUAAGGACCGGCUAAUUCCGUGCCAGCAGCCGCGGUAAUACGGAAGGUCCGGGCGUUAUCCGGAUUCAUUGGGUUUAAAGGGAGCGUAGGCCGUGGAUUAAGCGUGUUGUGAAAUGUAGGCGCUCAACGUCUGACUUGCAGCGCGAACUGGUCCACUUGAGUGUGCGCGACGCAGGCGGAAUUCGUGGUGUAGCGGUGAAAUGCUUAGAUAUCACGAGGAACCCCGAUUGCGAAGGCAGCUUGCGGGAGCACCACUGACGCUGAGGCUCGAAGGUGCGGGUAUCGAACAGG